rnacentral:rRNA from 1 species
GCAAUCAAUAAGCGGAGGAAAAGAAACCAACAGGGAUUGCCCUAGUAACGGCGAGUGAAGCGGCAACAGCUCAAAUUUGAAAUCUGGCUCUUUCAGAGUCCGAGUUGUAAUUUGCAGAGGGCGCUUUGGCUUUGGCAGCGGUCCAAGUUCCUUGGAACAGGACGUCACAGAGGGUGAGAAUCCCGUACGUGGUCGCUAGCUAUUGCCGUGUAAAGCCCCUUCGACGAGUCGAGUUGUUUGGGAAUGCAGCUCUAAAUGGGAGGUAAAUUUCUUCUAAAGCUAAAUAUUGGCCAGAGACCGAUAGCGCACAAGUAGAGUGAUCGAAAGAUGAAAAGCACUUUGGAAAGAGAGUCAAACAGCACGUGAAAUUGUUGAAAGGGAAGCGCUUGCAGCCAGACUUGCUUGCAGUUGCUCAUCCGGGCUUUUGCCCGGUGCACUCUUCUGUAGGCAGGCCAGCAUCAGUUUGGGCGGUGGGAUAAAGGUCUCUGUCACGUACCUCUCUUCGGGGAGGCCUUAUAGGGGAGACGACAUACCACCAGCCUAGACUGAGGUCCGCGCAUCUGCUAGGAUGCUGGCGUAAUGGCUGUAAGCGGCCCGUCUUGAAACACGGACCAAGGAGUCUAACAUCUAUGCGAGUUUGGGG